rnacentral:rRNA from 1 species
UACGUAGGGUGCGAGCGUUGUCCGGAAUUACUGGGCGUAAAGAGCUCGUAGGCGGUGUGUCGCGUCGGUCGUGAAAACUUGGGGCUUAACCCUGAGCUUGCGGUCGAUACGGGCAUCACUGGAGUUCGGCAGGGGAGACUGGAAUUCCUGGUGUAGCGGUGAAAUGCGUAGAUAUCUGGAGGAACACCGGUGGCGAAGGCGGCAUCCUGGACCAACACUGACACUGAGGAGCGAAAGCCAGGGGAGCAAACGGG